rnacentral:rRNA from 1 species
GACGAACGCUGGCGGCGUGCCUAAUACAUGCAAGUCGGACGGAGAUGCGAACGGGUGAGUAACGCGUAGGUAAAUACCUAUUAGAGGGGGAUAACUAUUGGAAACGAUAGCUAAUACCGCCUACUAGUAGAUGGAUCUGCGUUGUAGUAGCUUGUAGGUAGGGUAAUGGCCUACCUAGGCAAAGAAACAUAGCCGAGCUUGGGAGGUGUGCGGGCCACCGGGGAAGUGGAACCGGCCCAAGCUCCUACGGGAGGGAGCAGUAGGGAAUUUUCGGCAAUUGGGCGAACCCUGACCGAGCAACGCCGCGGGGGUGGAGAAGGGUUUCGGAUCGUAAAGCUCUGUUGUGACGGAAGCGGUACUUACACAGAAAGCGCCGGCUAACUACGUGCCAGCAGCCGCGGUAAUUC